CGGGGUGCACCAGGCGCGAAAACUUUACAAUGCUGGCAACAGCGAUAAGGGGACCUCGAGUGCCAGGAUACAAUCUUGGCUGUCGCGAUGCCUAAAAAGCAUUGCAUAGCAAGGGCCGGGCGAGACCGGUGCCAGCCGCCGCGGUAACACCGGCGGCUCGAGUGGUAACCGCUAUUAUUGGGUCUAAAGGGUCUGUAGCCGGCCGGAUAAGUCUUUUGGGAAAUCCAGCUGCUCAACAGUUGGGCUUUCAGAAGAUACUGUUCGGCUCGAGACCGGGAGAGGUGAGAGGUACUUCAGGGGUAGGGGUGAAAUCUUGUAAUCCUUGAAGGACCACCAGUGGCGAAGGCGUCUCACCAGAACGGAUCUGACGGCAAGGGACGAAAGCUAGGGGCACGAACCGGAUUAGAUACCCGGGUAGUCCUAGCCGUAAACGAUACUCGCUAGGUGUCAGCCACGGUGCGACCGUGGUUGGUGCCGUAGGGAAGCCGUGAAGCGAGCCACCUGGGAAGUACGGCCGCAAGGCUGAAACUUAAAGGAAUUGGCGGGGGAGCAC
rnacentral:rRNA from 1 species